rnacentral:rRNA from 1 species
GAGUUUGAUCCUGGCUCAGGGUGAACGCUGGCGGCGCGCUUAAUGCAGCAAGUCGAGCGUGUCCGUGGCUUCGGCCACAAUGGAAAAGCGGCAGACGGCUGAGUAACGCGUGAGUAACUUGCCCUCUGGUGGGGUAUAGCCUCGAGAAAUCGUGGUUAAUCCCGCAUAAGACCUCUAGACCCUGGUCUAGAGAUGAAAGCCUUCGGGCGCCAGAGGAGAGGCUCGCGUCCUAUCAGGUAGUUGGUGGGGUAAUGGCCCACCAAGCCAAUGACGGGUAGCUGGUCUGAGAGGACGACCAGCCAGAGGGGGACUGAGAACGGCCCCCACUCCUACGGGAGGCAGCAGCAGGGAAUCUUGGGCAAUGGGCGAAAGCCUGACCCAGCGACGUCGCGUGGAGGAUGAAGGCUCUAGGGCUGUAAACUCCUUUUCCAAGGGAAGAGUACUCGGCUUCGAAUAGGAGACCGAGGGUGACGGUACCCCCAGAGGAAGCACCGGCUAACUCCGUGCCAGCAGCCGCGGUAAUAC